rnacentral:lncRNA from 12 species
CUUUAAUGAAUAUUUAAUUGGGUGUGCAGACAAGGGGUUGUAUCAUCAGUUGUGGUGAACUGGCUUACUCUGUCAAAGCUAAUGGUGCUGUAUUGAUUUAUGCAACAUAAGAGGCUGACUUGGAGUUAAAGGAGAGGGCAGAAAUCUUCUUCCUGGGAAGGAAAUUAGAAAAGGAGGAGUCACACUGUGAUCUGUGGUAUGGUAAUCACGGUGUGCUGCCUGCAAGGGAAAGCCUGAAGAUUGGAGAAGCAUCUAGAUCCAGUCCAUCCUCAGAGGGAAUAAGGUGGA